GGGAAUGUAGCUCAAUGGCAGAGCGCCUCGGGCAACCGGGGAGACCGAAGGUUCGAUUCCUUUCUUUUCCACCA
rnacentral:tRNA from 1 species